AAGCCUUGAUGAGGACAUUGAGAGAUGUAGCUGUUGAACCUUUCCCAUGCUUCUCCAAAGCCU
rnacentral:snoRNA from 1 species